rnacentral:rRNA from 2 species
AGACCGAUAGCGAACAAGUAGAGUGAUCGAAAGAUGAAAAGCACUUUGAAAAGAGAGUUAAACAGCACGUGAAAUUGUUGAAAGGGAAGCGUUGUCCACCAGACUCGCCCGGGGGGGCUCAGCCGGCACGUGUGCCGGUGUACUCCCCUCCGGGCGGGCCAGCAUCGGUUUGGGCGGCUGGUGAAAGGCCCCGGGAAUGUAACACCCUCCGGGGUGCCUUAUAGCCCGGGGUGCCAUGCAGCCAGCCUGGACCGAGGCCCGCGCUUCGGCGAGGAUGCUGGCGUAAUGGUGGUCAACGGCCCGUCUUGAAACACGGACCAAG